GGCCGCCUCCACAGGGCCCACGGGGGAUCAAAGCCCCCGAGGAAACACCGCCCUCCCCGCGGCACCGAGACCCCGCAAGGGGUGCGGGUAGACCCCGCGGCAACGGCACAGAAACGGCACGACCCCACAGCAAUGGCUAGGAUGGGGCUAAACCCCAGAGUAGCUGUGGGGUGCGGUGAAACGGCCGCCCCUCGGGGAGCAAGGCCAACGUGCCUGUGAAGGCCGCGUGAGGCGCGGGUAGGCCGCUUAGCCAAAUGCCCUGAAACAGAAGGCGGGUUAUGUGGGGGCGGCC
rnacentral:RNase_P_RNA from 1 species